GCCAGGGUGGCGGAAACCGGUAACGCGCCGGUCUUGAGUUUUUAGGACAUCAAGAGCUGAUUAGUGAUGCAAAACAGGCCAACCGGUGCCCGAAAGGGCUUUAGGGUUCAAAUCCCUACCCUGGCG
rnacentral:tRNA from 1 species